AUUGAACGCUGGCGGCAUGCCUUACACAUGCAAGUCGAGCGCGAAAGGGGGGCAACCCCCGUGUAGAGCGGCGGACGGGUGAGUAACACAGCGGAACGUACCCAGUAGUGGGGGACAACCUCGAGAAAUCGAGGCUAAUACCGUAUACGACCCACGGGUGAAAGGGGGGGACCGCCAGGCCUCGCGCUAUUGGAGGGGCCGAUGUCCGGUUAGCUAGUUGGCGGAGUAAGAGCCCACCAAGGCGACGAUCGGUAGCCGGUCUGAGAGGACGACCAGCCACACUGGGACUGAGACACGGCCCAGACUCCUACGGGAGGCAGCAGUGGGGAAUUUUGGACAAUGGGGGCAACCCUGAUCCAGCCAUGCCGCGUGCGGGAAGAAGGCCUUCGGGUUGUAAACCGCUUUCGGCCGGAACGAAAUCGCCCGGGUGAACAUCCCAGGUGGAUGACGGUACCGGAAGAAGAAGCACCGGCUAACUACGUGCCAGCAGCCGCCGUAACAC
rnacentral:rRNA from 1 species